rnacentral:misc_RNA from 1 species
GUGUCACCACAUAUGGAGCAUUUUCUGCAAACAUGGUGUUUUGCUCUCUCUAUGAUACGUGAUGAUAUUGAGAAGGAAGACGCCUUUCGUGGUUUAUGUGCAAUGGUAAAGGCAAAUCCAUCAGGUGCAUUAAAUUCACUCGUCUUUAUGUGCAAAGCCAUUGCAAGUUGGCAUGAGAUACGAAGUGAAGAUCUACGCAAUGAAAUCUGCUUGGUUUUGCAGGGAUAUAAGCAAAUGCUCAAGGAUGGUGCUUGGGAACAGUUCAUGUCAGCUUUGGAGCCCUCAGUGAAGGACAAGUUGUCGAUGUAUCAAGUUUAGUUAUUUAUUGACAGAGUGGAUCUCCCAAGUUUCAAUGCAUGUUGUCAUCUCGACUGUAUGACACUUCACAUCUAUGGAUCUAUUGGCUUUGUGUUGGUGUUACUCUUAACAUUGUCAGAUUGUUAUUGUUGCCAUGCAUGUUGAUCAAACAGUCUUGGGUUCAAUUUCAUCCAGGCAACAUUCUCAUUGAAGAUUGAAGCUAUUUUUAUUCUUCAAAGCUUCAGGGCUGCAGGUUUUGGGCACAACAAUUGGAGAAGCUGAGGUUUGACAAAUUUAGUGUACAGGUGUGAAUGCAACAAUUAUAUUUGAUUUUGUUGGUGUCUGUCCUGAAGGGGCGAGAUCCUAAAUCUUAAGAUAAUUGGGUGUGAGAAUUUUAUAUUGGGUUGAAGAGCAACUUUUCCUGAUUUUAUCUUUCCAUUAUAAGGUCCCAUUGGUUGAUUUUAGACUACGAUAUCAUAGCUAGAUGUCUCAGAAUUUGUUGAUCCACCUUCUCAUCUGGAGGUUUGAAAGUGAUGGUCCGUUGGGAGGUAUGAAUGAUCUCGAUGGUGGGCGAGAGAAAUAAUUGUUGUCUGUACUUUGUGGUUAUUGGUAGAGGGGUUUAAAUUUUAUGUAUCAUUUUAAAGAAAAUAUUAUGUCAUUUUAUCCUACACGAUUUUUUAGUACCGUCUAAAGGAAGAUGAAAAAAUAUUUGAUAGUUAUAACUAGAAAUGGAAUGCGAAAUUCAAAGAUGCUG